rnacentral:lncRNA from 1 species
UACAUAUAAGCGAGUGUUUCAGUGAUUUUGCAAGUAGUACGUUUCUGUGUUUGAAUAGAUACGGAACGUGACGGAAGGCCGUUCGGGAGUAUAAACAUUACAACCAGAUCAGUCAGAACACUAAUUCAAAUCAACAUGUUGAGCAUACAGAGUGUAAUAUCUAGUUUGGCUAUUGGCGUAAUCCUGGUGAGCAUCGUCUGCCAAGCCUUUCCCGGAGAAGAAUACUACAGGAACUUAGGACCAGAAAAUACAGAUUCCACAUUGUCUGUGUGUGACCGCUGUUAUCUUUACGUUGACAAACAAGCUUGUCAGCUCUGUGACCUACGAACGGAAGAUUUAGAGGAAAGCGAAGUGCCCAGAGUGCCGGCAAGUGUGUACCAGGGCAUGAACAAAAGAGCUGGAUAUGUCCGCCAUACUCGUCUUUUCCCCUGUCAGUGCUGCGCCAUAUCUAGGAACUUCCAUACCAACUGUUGCUCGAGAUGCGCCGCAUACAACGGGAAGUAAAUACAAGUACUUGUUAUUUCUGACCGGAAGUAGCAUGUCCAUUGGGAGAAACGUAUGGCGGUGCCCUUGAUCAAAAGACCUAGGACUAUGAAAAUGCAAUUUUGUCCUGCUGUUGUGAGUGUUGUCUACCAUCAGAGCAAAAAAAGAGUAACGUCUAUUAAGGAGGGUAUGGUAGUGAGAAAGGGUUAUUUUAUAAUUAUAAUUCCCUUAUUUUUUUAUUAUAAUUCCCUUAUUUCAUAAUUAUAAUUCCCCUAUUUUAUUAAAAGAACAAUUUCUAACCCCUAUGAUGUGUGUUUGUUAACAUAUGUUUGAGAUCAGAGAAAUUCCUAAUAACUUCGUCUUAUCUGACAUCCUCGUGGUGUUAGGAGAAUGUAUCAUUUUUAGUUUGAAGACACUAACAGAUAUAUUUGAAUAUUGAAAUUUGUAUUUCCUUCUGUUUUGUUAACAUUUCUUUCACUUGCUUUUACAUUUCCAUAACUAAUGUCGUUCUAAAGGAAUGCUUUGUUUUUACAACAGAAAAUUGUCUGUUCUCGAAAUCGUUCUUCUACGGUUAGGACAGGGAUGAUAUAGCUAAAGCUUGCUAAUUGACGUAAUACGUCUUUAUUUUAAACGAUAAUUCUUUAAAAAAAAUACUAAACACAAAAAAAAGUCAUAUUGUUGAGAAAUGCUUAUCGAUCGUUAUUAAACUUUAACGUCAAAGGUUCCUUGUAUAACACAUAGUAAAAUUGUGUCAUUUGUUUCUCCUAUAUUCUAGUUGAAAUUGUCUAUUUUCUGAACCAAACAUUAUUGUUUGGUCAUAAUCAUUUAGAUAUAAAUAUCUUCUUGAAUCACAGAUCUCAUUAAAAGAAGCUUUAGACGAACAAAACCGGAGAAAAACUGCCAAAUAGUUUCCACAAACAUCCCUGCCCUUCGAGAAAUAGAGGCUCUCAACAUGUGGUGGAUAUUUAUAUGGAGUUUGUUGAAAAAACAAUGUAUUUAGACAAAUGUUUUUCAAGUGUUUCUUUUAAUGCAAUUAUUAACUUAUGAAAGUUAGAUUAUUGUAACCAGCCAUCGAAGGUUUUGUGGCUUUUUUUCUCCCAUAGCGUUCAUAUAUAUCUGGAAAACCAUUAGUUCCUCUCCAAAAUACAUGAUUUCUGUUGCCAAUCUCGGAACAGCUGCCUUGAAUUAUGAAGUUACAUGGAAAACAUAGUUACGUGACGUUGAUACACUGAUUUGCCGUCGGGGUUGUUACCAACACGUAGAAAACAUUUAAAUAUUUUCAAACGCCUUGCAUUUUUAGUCAAUGCUUCUUCAGUGAAGAAACACAAAGUGGUAAUGAAAGAAACGUUGAAUUGUUACUAUGACCAUUCCUGUUUUUCACUGUACAAUUGGCGAUAUCAUUGUAACGUUACGUAUAUAUCACGUUUCUCAACAUUUGUGAAAAAUAUGGCUUUCCUCAAAUAGCUAAAACAGUGAUACGUGUUUUAAAAAGACAAUAAUUUGCUUACAUAAAUACACUAAAUAGCACAUUUUUGAAAACCAGACGUAUAUGCAUUGAAAUGAAUACAUUUUGUGUAUUAUAAUAUACAUUUUUCGUGUAUCAUAAUUGCACAUUCUUUGGUAUUUACAUUAUACACUUUUGUGAAUAAUGAUAUAGCUUAAUUUGUUCAAGUUUUAGAAUUUCAUUUUGUGAUUAUUGAAUUUGUAUUGUUCAAAUGUAUAGUUCAUUGUUUAGUAUUUAAAUGUGUGAUUUGAAUUAAAUUAUUUUCAUAUUUAA